GCGCGUUUCGCGCUCCUGGACAGCUCGGGGGAAGUCGGGGCGGCGCGGGCCUCUGGUCACGCCGGCGCACCGGAUCGCGCAGGAGCGGUCACACGUGCCGGCUUCUGACCGCAGCGGGCUACUGGUGUUCGCGGGCUUGGCGGAGGGUGAAACUCGGGUAGCUCUGAGAGGAGAGGGCCAUCUCAUACGGUGGACAGACGUGCAUUGAGCGGAGGUGGCCCGGCUGCGCCGGCUGGCUGCUCCGGAGAACUGUUGCUGCUGCUGUCUGGGGAAGCUUGCAACUCAUCCCGUCAGGGCCAGGGUGGCAGGGUGAUGACUGAAGAUGGAGCCUGCAGUUCAGUGAAUCACCAACCAGGAAAGGGGUGGGCUCCACCGGGGCCAGACGUGCCCCGUAAGUUCCUCUGAAAUCUAAGCUUUUGGUGACUCCUCAUCGUGUGCUUACAGCCAGUGCCCACAUGGCUCAGGUGGGCUGAGUGCUGUGGAUAUAGGUGUCAAAAUCUUUGACCUUCACCUUCUCUCACCUUCUCCCAAAAUAAUCUGGUGAAAGGUUGCUAUGGAUUAAAUUGUGUCCCUUCAUAAGAGGUAUGUUGAAAUCCUAAACCCCAGGACUUCAGAAUGGGACCUGACUCGGAAAUGGAGUUAUUGCAGAUGUAAAGAUGAGGUCGUCCUGGAUUAGGGGUGGUGUACCCUUAUAAGAAGACUGCCCUGCAAAGAUGGAGACCCACAAGGAAGAUUUCCUGUGAUGGCAAAGCAGCUAUGGCAGUUACACGGCGGCAUGCCAGAGAUGGCCAGCAAGUCACUAGAAGCUGCCAAGAGGCAAGGAAGGACUCUUCCACAAAUUUCAGAGGGAGCAUGGCACUUCAAAAACCUGAUUUCAGACUUCUAGCCUCCACAACCAUGAGACAGUAAAUCUGUUUUAACCUAUCCAGUUUGUUUUUAUUGUAUUAAGGUAGCUCUAGGAAAGUACUACUUUCCUAGAAAGUACUGGAGUACCCACUCCACUAUUCUUGCCUGGGAAAUUCCAUGGACAGAGGAGCCUUGUAAGCCACAGUCCAUGGGGUUGCAAAGAGUCGGAUACGACUGAGUGACUCCACUUUCACCCACUCACAGGAAAGUAAUAGAAAAGUCAGUGUCUCAUUUGAUACUGCAAUAGAUGCUCACUAUUUGUCAGUUUCCUAGUUUUUAGCCUCCCCAAAACCCAAUUGAAUUAUUCAGGCUACUUUAAACUGUCAGUUUGCAGAUCACAUAUGCUACAGUGCUUAACUUUGUUCUACUAAAAGCAUGUUCAGCAGCUCUCCAGAUUUUAGGCUACACAAAGAACCUUGCAUGAUCUAAGGAAAGGUCAGGACUGUAGACAGUGCACUUGAUUCUAUGCUGUUUGUAACAUUUAGGUAGAGUAUUUUUCCUUAUGUUAAGAGGCUGAUAUUGUAUCCAGAUAUAUAGAAAAAGUACCCAUAUCCUAUGACUUUUUUCAUUCUGUUCUAAUUUCAUCUCAUGCUUAAAGAUGCAAAGUUGACUGUGGAGUAUAUGAUGACUGUAUUUUUUGAUCCAAAAUAUAAGAUCUCAAUACCAUCAUUCCCAUUCCAAUUUGUGUAUUUCUAACUCUAAAAUUAGAUGCAGACCUAACUGAAAAAUAUGGAAAGAAAAUGAACAGACAUUUCACCCCCAAAGGACAUUCAAGUGACUCAGACAUAAUACAAGAAAAAAAAGAUGUUCUAUCUGAUUUAUAAUAAACAUGAAAAUUAAAAUGAUAAGCAGUUACCCUAGUCCAUUACCAAUUUAGCAAAGAUCAAAAAGUUCAGUUACAUUGUAUUGAUGAGGGUGAGUGGAAAUAUAGGCAAUGCUGAUGUAAACUGUUGCUGUAUUUAUGGAAAGCUCAUUAUAUCUAUUAAAAACUUAAGUGUAUGUGUCCUUUAACCCGGAAAUAUCACACCUAUGACUUUAAAAGUGGACUUUUUCUCGAGAAGUUUUAGCAAAAUUGAGUGGCAAUUACGGACGUUUCCCACAUACCACCUUUGUCCACAUAGGUUCACAACCUCCCCUACCACCACAUUCCCAUGUUGGGAAUUGGUUACAUUUGUUAUGGGACAUUUGUUACAAAGGAUGGAUCUGCGCUGACACAUCAUUAUAAUCCAAAGCCCGUAGUUUACAUU